AUAUUUUUACAUUUUUCUUCCCAUUCUGCCCUGCUCUCCCUACAUCCCCUAUGAAAUGUUAUCAUCAGUCGACUCAAUCGUUCUCCAGUCGACUCUUCAAUUAGGGUUUAUGAUUGAAUAUCUACAGCCGCAUAAGGAAUUCGAUGAAUUACGCCAACUGAAAUCAAUUACCCCAUACGUUUCAUACCUUCAAUUAUUUAACACCGAACCCAUCAUGGAAUUGGGUAGGGUUUUCACCCCAUCCCCAACUCAUUGGCCUUCUUAUCCUCUGCCAGGCGAUUUAUGGGAUCGUUGUUAAUGGGUAUGAACAGGGUUUAGACAUUGCACAAAAUCAAAGAAGAUGUAAUCGGGAGACCGAAUCCACGACUGUUUUCUUAAUGCUUCCUGGAAUUAGUUCAGAGAGUUGAUGCCUAAAGCUGGUGAAAAAGAAAGUCAGGCAAAGAUAAAAAAGAUACAUGAAAAUGAUGAAUUCGAUGACUGAUAAAGGUUUGUGCAAUUUGGUUCAAGAAAGAAGACACCUAAAUUGAGCCUGCUUGACGGGGGUGCCAAUGCUAGCUUAAGGAUCAUCAGACCAUGAUACAUACUACAUGCAACAAAGGUUUAAAAUUGGCAAGCUGGUUAAUAAGGAAAUGACAAAAAAAAUUGGUUGGUCAACCAUGCCAGAUUAUUUCCGAGAGUUUAUACUUUAUACAUGGGCAGGUCAAAUGAGCAGCACUCAAGCAGGUCAGUUUUUAUGCAUGUCAAAAUGGGUUGGGUCGGUUGGAUAAAAGAUUGAACGAGGUUGGGUCAUCUCUAUAUUAUAACAAUAACAUAUUUGAAUAAACUAUGAGUAAAUUUUCUGUGUUAAACGUGGGUGACUUUCACCUUUUUUUUUGACCCUAUUCCCACUUUUAGUUUGUUUUGACCCAUUUGAGAUAAAACACAAACUGGUCUAACCCAUCUAUAAGUAAAUGGGUCGAAUUCGGAUCCUCUAGCAAAAUAAAGCCUCUUAAUAAUCUCAAAUAAUUGUAGAAUAUAGAUGUGAAUAGAGGGAAUAUCAUAACCUUUUUUUAUUUAUUUCCACAUUGGCAAGAAACUUGUUUAAUGGUCAAAUUUCGGUGUAAACAUAUUGGGUUAUAGGAUACUGCAGGUUGAAUUUAUGACUGUAAUAUAAGUUGGAAAUCUAUUUUUUAAGUAGAGUGAAUUGGGGAUCUCGGCCUCCUCGACGGUGAUUUAUGAAAUAUUAAUAAAAGAAAAAAAAUUAAGUAAUGUAAACGGGGCAGGGCAUCAAAAAUAAAGCAUUAACUUCAUGUUAUGCUCACCACAUGAAGCUUCAAGGAGUGUCACGCCAGAGCUUUAAAGCAUCUAUAUUCAUCCAAGCAGCCUGUUUGAUGAAAUGCGUUUGUCAAUCGAUUCUUUAAUUUUUAUUUGGAUUGGAUUAUUUUUUAUUUUCUUAUUUUAUUUCAUGUUAUUUCUAUUUUCUUA